rnacentral:tRNA from 1 species
AUUGAGCAAAGCAAACUUAGCUUUGUUUUCAAGACUGAUUGGGCUAUCGAUACGCUUAUAGAAACUUUGACCAAAUUGUUUUACU